rnacentral:rRNA from 1 species
AGUCGAGCGGAAUGAUGAAGAAGCUUGCUUCUUCUGAUUUUAGCGGCGGACGGGUGAGUAACACGUGGGCAACCUACCUUGUAGAUUGGGAUAACUCCGGGAAACCGGGGCUAAUACCGAAUAAUCCAUUUUGCUUCAUGGCAAGAUGUUGAAAGGCGGCUUCGGCUGUCACUACGAGAUGGGCCCGCGGCGUAUUAGCUAGUUGGUAGGGUAAUGGCCUACCAAGGCGACGAUACGUAGCCGACCUGAGAGGGUGAUCGGCCACACUGGGACUGAGACACGGCCCAGACUCCUACGGGAGGCAGCAGUAGGGAAUCUUCCACAAUGGACGAAAGUCUGAUGGAGCAACGCCGCGUGAGUGAAGAAGGUUUUCGGAUCGUAAAACUCUGUUGUAAGGGAAGAACACGUACGAGAGUAACUGCUCGUACCUUGACGGUACCUUAUUAGAAAGCCACGGCUAACUACGUGCCAGCAGCCGCGGUAAUACGUAGGUGGCAAGCGUUGUCCGGAAUUAUUGGGCGUAAAGCGCGCGCAGGCGGUUCUUUAAGUCUGAUGUGAAAGCCCACGGCUCAACCGUGGAGGGUCAUUGGAAACUGGAGAACUUGAGUACAGAAGAGGAAAGCGGAAUUCCACGUGUAGCGGUGAAAUGCGUAGAGAUGUGGAGGAACACCAGUGGCGAAGGCGGCUUUCUGGUCUGUAACUGACGCUGAGGCG